rnacentral:rRNA from 1 species
CACGCUGUAAACGAUGAUUACUCGAUGUUGGCGAUAUACUGUCAGCGUCUAAGCGAAAGCAUUAAGUAAUCCACCUGGGGAGUACGGCCGCAAGGUUGAAACUCAAAGGAAUUGACGGGGGCCCGCACAAGCGGAGGAGCAUGUGGUUUAAUUCGAUGAUACGCGAGGAACCUUACCUGGGCUAGAACGUAGGAUGACCGUCCCGGAAACGGGAUUUCCCUUCGGGGCGUCUUACGAGGUGC